GGGUGGGGAUGUCACAAAACAAAAAAAAAAGAAACAAAAAAAAAGCCAACCAGGUUAGUGAGUGCUAAUAACAACUUGGCAGUCUUCUGUUUUUAUAGUUUUGUCUUUCUAAGCCUUAAGCUGAAGGCAUUUAACAUGGGUGCCUGUCAAUUGUGGGAGAAGUCUAGUCUCAGAAGCCAUCUGAAUGACCUCCUUUUGGUUUGGGGAGAACUGUAAGGGUGUUUAUUAGUCUAGGAAUUGUGUAAAGUGAUAUACCAAGGCAGUCCAGCCUGGUAAAGACAAAAUGGCCUCA